rnacentral:lncRNA from 1 species
GGUUACUUCUGAUACUGAGUCACUCAGCUACCUGACUAUCAAUCUGCCUACAAAGAACUCUUUAAGGCAGCUAGAGCAUCAGGAAGAGCAGUCUACAAAAUUUCUUUGAAGUUAAUGGCAUUAAUUAUGCUGAUUGAAGAUGUGCCGCUACAGAAACAUGUUUUUAAGGUACAGGAGUUGUGGUCCCGAUCCUCACUGCAUCCACAUGUGAGGGUGACAGAAUGUCCAAAAUGGAUGUAUUUAUAG